UGCGCCUGCUAAAGGAGGCAGCCUUACCCACCAACUAUCGUUUUGCAGGCAACAGGGCAAGGUAUCCUCUCGUGAUCCGCAAUUUUGCGGAUUCAAAAUCAUUC
rnacentral:sRNA from 1 species